rnacentral:lncRNA from 1 species
AGUUAUGGAAGUAAUAGUAUAUAAACAAGUUAGAUUUUCUUGACUUACAGAUUUGCAAGGAGGGGAGGAAAUGGCUCUUGCUGCUGUGGUGACUGACUGUUCUGUAGGAGACAUACCAAAUCCAAAACCGGUGAGAACCAACAGCAAAAAAGUUAAGGUAACUACGAUUGUUGAAUAUGAAGAUGCCAAGCAUAUUUCUGCAAAGAAGAAAGUUUCCAAAACAAAGUCGUUGGUUUCUUUGGCUUCUGGUUUAAAUAGCAAACUGAACUCUCUUUCUAGGUAAGACUGACCUUUGAUAGCUUAUUUAACUCACCUGAACUUGAGCAUGCUGAAUAAAAGCCUUUUCAGAUGAAGUAGCUGAGAUUUG